AGAGUUUGAUCAUGGCUCAGAUUGAACGCUGGCGGAAUGCUUUACACAUGUAAGUCGAACGAUGAACCCUAGCUUGCUAGGGGGAUUAGUGGCGAACGGGUGAGUAAUAUAUCGGAACGUGCCUUGUAAUGGGGGAUAACUAGUCGAAAGAUUAGCUAAUACCGCAUACGCCCUGAGGGGGAAAGUAGGGGAUCUUCGGACCUUACGUUAUAAGAGCGGCCGAUAUCUGAUUAGCUAGUUGGUGGGGUAAUGGCCUACCAAGGCUUCGAUCAGUAGCUGGUCUGAGAGGACGACCAGCCACACUGGAACUGAGACACGGUCCAGACUCCUACGGGAGGCAGCAGUGGGGAAUUUUGGACAAUGGGCGCAAGCCUGAUCCAGCCAUUCCGCGUGAGUGAAGAAGGCCUUCGGGUUGUAAAGCUCUUUCGCAAGGGAAGAAAACUUACUUUCUAAUAAAGAGUGAGGCUGACGGUACCUUGAUAAGAAGCACCGGCUAACUACGUGCCAGCAGCCGCGGUAAUACGUAGGGUGCGAGCGUUAAUCGGAAUUACUGGGCGUAAAGCGUGCGCAGGCGGUUUGGCAAGUCAGAUGUGAAAUCCCCGAGCUCAACUUGGGAACUGCGUUUGAAACUGCCAGACUAGAAUAUGUCAGAGGGGGGUAGAAUUCCACGUGUAGUAGUGAAAUGCGUAGAGAUGUGGAGGAAUACCAAUGGCGAAAGCAGCCCCCUGGGAUAAUAUUGACGCUCAUGCACGAAAGCGUGGGGAGCAAACAGGAUUAGAUACCCUGGUAGUCCACGCCCUAAACGAUGUCUACUAGUUGUUGGUGGAGUAAAUCCAUGAGUAACGCAGCUAACGCGUGAAGUAGACCGCUGGGGAGUACGGUCGCAAGAUUAAACUCAAAGGAUUGACGGGGGCCCGCACAAGGCGGUGGAUAUGUGGAUUAAUCGAUGCACGCGGAAACUACCUGCCUUGACAUGCCACUACGAGCAAGAAUGCAUAAGUGCCGUAAAGGAAAUGGGACACAGUGCGUGGCAU
rnacentral:rRNA from 1 species